ACAAGGUUUCCGUAGGUGAACCUGUGCAGCGAAAUUAAGGAAGCCUUUGCACCCCUAACGGGGGCUCUCGCGACUCUAAAUAAGGAGGCAUGCAAGUGACAAAGCCCAACGGCUGAGUUGCAACACAAUCGAAUUGCGGGGAAGUCCUAAAGCCUCAGGGUACUAACCUGCUGUAGGAAUGCAGCAGGGGCCUGUGUUAAUCGCACAGGGUAUAGUAACAACCCCGGAGGAUCUAGCCAGGUGUGCUAGAAUGGACGAUCCGCAGCGAAGCCCCUAGACCAGGGGAACGUUCACAGACUAAGUGGUUGUGGGUAGGAGGGACUCCUGCUUAAGAUAUAGUCGGGCCGGCGCGGAAACGCGCUGGGGAUUCGCAAGAACGUAAACCGCUCCGUAGGUGAACCUGCGGAGGGAUC
rnacentral:rRNA from 1 species